UACAUUAGUUAAGGACCAGAAAGCGAGAGAAGGAAAACAGUUAUCUGAGGCAGAUGAAGCAGCUUUGAAGGAGCCGAUCAUUAGGAGGUUUGAGGAGGAAGGAAACCCUUAUUAUUCCAGUGCAAGAUUGUGGGAUGAUGGAAUUAUUGAUCUGCCUGACACAAGUCUGGUUUUGGGCCUCAGUCUCAGCGCAGCGCUUAAUGCACCUACUAAGAAGACAGAAUUUGGGAUUUUCAGGAUGUAAUAC